rnacentral:lncRNA from 1 species
UCCUUUGUAAUAAUAUUCUUUAAAUGCGCAAGUAUAUUCAUCUAUAUAACACAUAUUACAUAUUGCUAAUUUUAACAUUAAAUUUCUAUUUGUAUCUUUUUCUUCAUUUUGUUCUUCUUCGAUUGUUGUCGUACUACCAAAUUCAUCUUUUAUAGCUGUUUCAUAUUUUUUUAAUAAUUCUAUAGGUGUUAGUUUAGUUGUUGUCGAUGAUGUUCCUUCUAUAGGUUUAUUAGUUCUUAAUACUUUUUUGCUAUUUUCGGUUAGAUUUGCAAACCAUAGUUUUACUGAUCCUAUUAGUGUUUUUUCUAUAUAUUCCGGUGCAUCUGUUAUAUUUAUAUUAUUAUCUAAUAAUUGUUUUGUCAUAUAUCCUAUCCAUAAUUGUAUUAUUUUUUCUGUAUCUAUUACACAGUCUAGAUCUAAAAAGUUAUAAUUUUUCCAUUUAUCAUAUUCAUUAUAUUUUUUAAACUUAUUCUUAUAAUAUAUGGGUUUUCUUAUUUCUGUUGUUUUAGGUAUUAUAUUUUCAUUUUCUUUUUUAUCAAGAGUAUUUAUUUCUGUGUGGGUAUUUUCUAAGUUUUCCUCAUAAAUUUUUUGUUCUUCAUUGAUUUCUAAACUUUUUGUAUUUGUUAAUAUUUCUGUAUAUGUUUCACUAUCUUCGGACUCAUAAUUAUCUGUCUCUUCAAUAUCUAUAUUAUUUGUUUCUAAUUCUUCGUUUUUUUAUUUCUAAUUUUUUCUUAAAUUGAUUUAUCUCAUUCAAUAAUUUCUGUUCUCUAUCUUUUUCUUCUUUUUUCUUUCUAUUGUUGUUCAUACAACUCUUUUAAUAUUUGUAGUUCUUUUUCUAAUUCAGCAAUUCUACUAUUUUUAGUUUCUUCUAUUUUUCAUAUUUUUUCCGUAAUUUGUUUUUUUAUUUUUUCUAUUUCCUUUUUCCUAUCUAUCUCUUCAUUUUCUUUUUCUAUUCUUACCAUUGCUGUUAAUUUAUUUUCUAAUUUUAAUUCUUCUUUUUCUAACAUUAUUCAUCUAUAUAACACAUAUUACAUAUUGCUAAUUUUAACAUUAAAUUUCUAUUUGUAUCUUUUUCUUCAUUUUGUUCUUCUUCGAUUGUUGUCGUACUACCAAAUUCAUCUUUUAUAGCUGUUUCAUAUUUUUUUAAUAAUUCUAUAGGUGUUAGUUUAGUUGUUGUCGAUGAUGUUCCUUCUAUAGGUUUAUUAGUUCUUAAUACUUUUUUGCUAUUUUCGGUUAGAUUUGCAAACCAUAGUUUUACUGAUCCUAUUAGUGUUUUUUCUAUAUAUUCCGGUGCAUCUGUUAUAUUUAUAUUAUUAUCUAAUAAUUGUUUUGUCAUAUAUCCUAUCCAUAAUUGUAUUGUUUUUUCUGUAUCUAUUACACAGUCUAGAUCUAAAAAGUUAUAAUUUUUAUUCACUAUUUGUUUUGGUAUCCAUUUAUCAUAUUCAUUAUAUUUUUUAAACUUAUUCUUAUAAUAUAUGGGUUUUCUUAUUUCUGUUGUUUUAGGUAUUAUAUUUUCAUUUUCUUUUUUAUCAAGAGUAUUUAUUUCUGUGUGGGUAUUUUCUAAGUUUUCCUCAUUAAUUUUUUGUUCUUCAUUGAUUUCUAAAUUUUUUGUAUUUGUUAAUAUUUCUGUGUAUGUUUCACUAUCUUCGG